rnacentral:misc_RNA from 1 species
CUGAGUGAAAGGCUUGAACAGAGCCCUCUCUCCCAACCCUUGUCUUCUGUACCCACUCUGCUUUGGCAGGCCCGCCACUAUUAGUGGCCGCUGAAGGAUUCUUAGUUAUAAGUUAUUAGCUAAACCUUGGGCCUGUGCCUGCCAGGGAACUUAAAUACAUGUUAUGAAACUGGUUUGUCUGAGAAUCCAAAGAAAAUAAACA